rnacentral:lncRNA from 1 species
GCAAGGGUCGACACGGGAGGCGACCCAGCCGCCGCCGCCGUGUCACCCCCACCGCCCUCCUUCUACCUCGCCACCGCCCGAGCGGGCCGCCAGAAACCGCGCGGCCGCAAGGACGGCGGCGGCGGGGCUUCCUCCCCCCGAGGUCGCGGCGUUCGGAGCCCACGACCCCGACCUAGCUUCGGGGCGGCGACUUCGGCGGCUGCGACGUCGAGCUCGACGGUGGCACAUGGCUUCGGCGAGGUGGCGGUGCCGACGACGGUUGAAGAGAUGGGCGACCGGGCCGACGACGAGAAGGCGGUGCUGGCUCCUACGCUCUCCUGCGCGGAUCUGGUGCGGGGGGAUGGAUCCCGAGCCGCUGGGGGCGGUGAUGCGCGUGGAGGCGGCGGGAUGGCCGGAUCCGGAACCCUCCUGUCUGGGUCCGGCGCGGGAGGCCGAGCUCCGACCCCAGGCAGCGAGGCGGCGGUGGCUGAAGGCGGCGGGGAUGGCGAUGGCGGCGGGGACGGAGCUGGCCGAGGGCGCGGAGGCAGCGGCGGUGGUCCCGUGGCUGCGACGGCGCGGUGCCUGGUGGCUGCGGCGGUGGUGCCCCCAGAUCCGCGCCUCUCGGCCGGGUCUGGAGGGUGGCGGCAGUUGGCGACGGCGGCGGCGGUGUGGCGAUGGUGGUGGCGGCAGUUGGCCAGCGGCAAGUGGCGAUGGCGGUCUCAGCCGGAUCUAGACGCAGGCAGCAGUUGGCGACGACAGCCGCGGACGACGGCGCAGCAGCAGUUUGCGGAGGCGAUGGUUGGCGUCGGUGGCAGCGACGACGGCGGCUACGACUCUGGAGGCGGUGGCGACGUCGGUGGCAGGGAAGGAGUCGGGUGCGAGGUGGCUGGGUGUUCGGCAGCAGCGGCUGCGGUGGUGGUGACCGUGUUUGCGGUCACCGGAGUCAUGGUGGCCUCGGUUGACUAGCCGAGGGCGU